rnacentral:rRNA from 1 species
AGUUUGAUCCUGGCUCAGGAUGAACGCUAGCGGCAGGCUUAACACAUGCAAGUCGAGGGGCAGCGAGUAGAUUGCUUGCAAUCUACGUCGGCGACCGGCGCACGGGUGCGUAACGCGUAUGCAACCUACCCAUUACAGGGGGAUAACACUGAGAAAUCGGUACUAAUACCCCAUAACAUCCAGGGAGGCAUCUUCUUGGGUUGAAAACUCCGGUGGUAAUGGAUGGGCAUGCGUUGUAUUAGUUAGUUGGUGGGGUAACGGCUCACCAAGACAACGAUACAUAGGGGGACUGAGAGGUUAACCCCCCACAUUGGUACUGAGACACGGACCAAACUCCUACGGGAGGCAGCAGUGAGGAAUAUUGGUCAAUGGACGCAAGUCUGAACCAGCCAUGCCGCGUGCAGGAAGACGGCUCUAUGAGUUGUAAACUGCUUUUGUACGAGGGUAAACGCAGAUACGCGUACCUGUCUGAAAGUAUCGUACGAAUAAGGAUCGGCUAACUCCGUG